rnacentral:rRNA from 1 species
AUUGAACGCUGGCGGCAUGCUUUACACAUGCAAGUCGAACGGCAGCGCGGGCUUCGGCCUGGCGGCGAGUGGCGAACGGGUGAGUAAUACAUCGGAACGUGCCCAGUAGUGGGGGAUAGCUCGGCGAAAGCCGGAUUAAUACCGCAUACGACCUGAGGGUGAAAGCGGGGGAUCUUCGGACCUCGCGCUAUUGGAGCGGCCGAUGGCAGAUUAGCUAGUUGGUGGGGUAAAGGCCUACCAAGGCGACGAUCUGUAGCUGGUCUGAGAGGACGACCAGCCACACUGGGACUGAGACACGGCCCAGACUCCUACGGGAGGCAGCAGUGGGGAAUUUUGCACAAUGGGCGAAAGCCUGAUCCAGCAAUGCCGCGUGUGUGAUGAAGGCCUUCGGGUUGUAAAGCACUUUUGGCGGGAACGAAAAGGACUGUGCCAAUACCACGGUUCGAUGACGGUACCCGCAGAAUAAGCACCGGCUAACUACGUG